rnacentral:RNase_P_RNA from 1 species
GGAGUCGGCCAGGCGGCCGCGGCGCCGUUUCGCGGUGUCGAGGAAAGUCCGGACUCCACAGGGCAGGGUGGUCGGUAACACCGACCCGGGGCGACCCGCGGGAAAGUGCCACAGAGAACAAACCGCCACCGCGUGCGGUGGUAAGGGUGAAACGGUGGUGUAAGAGACCACCAGCGGCCGGAGCGAUCCGGUCGGCUCGGUAAACCCCACCCGGAGCAAGGUCAAGACGGGGGCGCGUGCGCCCCCAGCGCGGACGUUCGAGGGCUGCCCGCCCGAGGUUCGCGGGUAGACCGCACCGAGGCCGCCGGCAACGGCGGUCCCAGACGGAUGGCCGUCCGGUCCGCGAGGACCGACAGAAUCCGGCUUAUCGGCCGACUCCCUCU